GGUUGUAUAGUCUAGUGGUUAGGACGUCUGAUUUUGAUUGCUGAUCAUGAGAUCACGUGACAAAGAUUUCAGGAUACCUGGGUUCGAACCCCAGUACGACCU
rnacentral:tRNA from 1 species